GAUCAAGUUACUAAGGGCAUGCGGUGGAUGCCUUGGUACAGGCAGCCGAUGAAGGACGUGAUAAGCUGCGAUAAGCCUCGGUUAGCUGCAAAUAAGCUUUGAGCCGGGGAUUUCCGAAUGGGAUAACCUGGGCCGGUUAUGCGGACCCAUCUCAUACUGAAUACAUAGGUAUGAGAAGACAACCGGGGGAAUUGAAACAUCUUAGUACCCCGAGGAAAAGAAAACAACCGUGAUUCUCCAAGUAGCGGCGAGCGAACGGGGAUCAGCCUAAACCGAUGAGCACGUUAAAGGGUGCAUCCGUUGUGCCGUCGGUGUCGCGGGAUCUGGUCUGAGCGAAGUGCAAAUAGCUCAAGAAGUUACAAAAUACCUGUCUAGCCAAACACUCCUGGAACGGAGGGCCAUAGAGGGUGAUAGCCCUGUAGGCGAAAGGCACGGUAUCUUCUUGGACCAGUCUCCCAAGUAGCACGGGACACGAGAAAUCUUGUGUGAAUCUGCCGGGACCACCCGGUAAGGCUAAAUACUUGCCUGUGACCGAUAGUGAACAAAGUACCGUGAGGGAAAGGUGAAAAGUACCCCGGAAGGGGAGUGAAAUAGUACCUGAAACCGUAUGCCUACAAGCUGUGGGAGGCGACGUAUCGUCUUCGGAUGAUACUUAGCUGACCGCGUGCCUAUUGAAUAAUGAUCCGGCGAGUUACUUCUCUGUAGCAAGAUUAAGGUAAACACUACCGUAGUCGUAGCGAAAGCGAGUCUUAAUAGGGCGAUUAGUUGCAGGGAGUAGACCCGAAGCCAGGUGAUCUACGGAUGGCCAGGAUGAAAUCUCGGUAAAACGAGAUGGAGGUCCGAACCCACCAGCGUUGAAAAGCUGGGGGAUGAGCUGUCCGUAGGGGUGAAAGGCUAAUCAAACCUGGCGAUAGCUGGUUCUCCCCGAAAUGUCUUUUGGGACAGCCUCGUGUUAGUGUUGCGGAGGUAGAGCACUGAUUGGGCUAGGGGCCGAAAAGGUUACCGCCCCCUAUCAAACUCCGAAUGCCGUAUACAUGAUGCACGGGAGUGAGCCCGUGGGGGAUAAGCUUCACGGACAAGAGGGAAACAACCCAGAUCGUCGGCUAAGGUCCCCAAGUUACGCUGAGUGGUAAAGGAUGUGAAAUUACUCAAACAGCUAGGAUGUUGGCUUAGAAGCAGCCAUUCAUUUAAAGAGUGCGUAAUAGCUCACUAGUCUAGUGAUUUCGCGCCGAUAAUUCACGGGACUAUGCGUAACACCGAAGCCGCGGGAUUCAUUCUUCGGAAUGGAUCGGUAGGGGAGCAUUCCGCCUUAGAUUGAAGGUGUGUCGUAAGACAUGCUGGACGAAGCGGAAGAGAUUAUGCCGGAACGAGUAGCGAUAAAACGGGCGAGAAACCCGUUCACCGAAAACCUAAGGUUUCCUGAGGAAGGUUAAUCCGCUCAGGGUUAGUCGGAUCCUAAGCCGAGGUCGAAAGGCGUAGGCGAUGGAAAACAGGUUAAUAUUCCUGUACCAGCUUGAACGCGUUAUACCUAUGGGGUGACGCAGGAGUGAAGACCAGCCCGGUACCGGUUGUCCGGGUCCAAGCAUGUAGGGGGGAGAGGCAGGCAAAUCCACCUCUCCAUACUCCGAGAUGCGAUAGGGAGAGCCUAGCUCAUAAACUGGUCGUAAUCAGACUGCCAAGAAAAGCCUCUAUGGAAGUUUUCAAGCUGUCCGUACCGCAAACCGCCACAGGUAGGUGAGGAGAGAAUCCUAAGGUGCUCGAGAUAACCCUCGUUAAGGAACUAGGCAAAAUGGCCCCGUAACUUCGGGAGAAGGGGUGCUCCAAUUAGGUAGAGCUAUUCGCGAGCCGAGAUGAAAGG
rnacentral:rRNA from 1 species